AUCUCCUCCCAAUAAAUAUCAGAACUUUAAGAACACAUGAAGAGCCUAUCUAGUCCGGGAUUGUUUUCACAGUGGCAACCAGAUGCCUAUGGGAAGCGUGCAAGUAGCUUAUGAGAGCAACAUCACUCUCCCACUCCUUAUCCCCAGCAACUGAUAUUCAGAGCAUACGGCUUCUAAUCCUGGAGGUAAUAUAGCUGUUAAAACUAGGAGCCAGUGAUCGUUUUAUCCUCUGUGACUUUGCCUAUUUGCUCUCCAAAGCUCCUUUUAUAGACUUGUUUGUGGUGACAAUCUCGGUCUUCUGGCAAAUCUUCAAGCAGUCCUCUCACAGUCAGCGACUACUUUUUCCACGUGUCUUCAUUUGCGCAGUUGUAUCUCAUUUUAUUUGUUCUUCAAAGUCCACUUUUUAAAAUCCAUUUUUUCCUUUCCCCUUCAAUUCAGGUGCUUCCAUAGUUGUCCUCCAUUCCUCCGUCUUACCUUUUUUUAAAAAAAAAAAAACACCUCCUCAAAGCUUGCUUCCAAUCUUUCAAACAGCAGAAGGUUUAAAACUCUUGUGGCUACCGCUUUUCCAAUGCCCUUCACUAGGCAACAACUGCCAUCUCAGGGAAACUAGAUCAAUAGAGGCGAAAGGGAAUCUCAGGGUUUAUGGGCAGAUGACAGACCUCUUUCCCUGCAAUGUUUUGCAUUCCAUUUCAUCACUAUUUGAUUUACAUUGUAGGCAAGGCAUUUCAAGAGAGCAAGGUAUUCAAAUCAAAUGUCAUCAUUCGCCAAUGAUGAGAUGGUUAUGAGCUAAUCACUUAACGCAUGCCAUCAUUUCGGUCUAGUAAAAAUCCUUGAACAGUUCUCUUUGUGCUUUUUAAAAUUCCACAGCUGCUGAAAGACUUUCUUAGUACGCAACUGCUUGGCUUAUGCAUCUGGAACCAAGCUUAAGCACUCCUUUUCAUGGUUACUUAAAAAUUGGAACAGCUGGGAAGGGAAGCUUUGGGGGGGGGCUUUAAGCUUUGAAGCAAGAAUUACAAAAAUAGUCAGGCAUUAGCACCACAGCAAUGAGCCACAGUGAUUUCAAAUGGUCAUUUUAAAAUACUGGUAAUGCUUGAAAAACACUGACACUCAGUACAUGGCUUUUGUAUUUAUACAGUAAAUAAAGCAUUUUAUGCCAUUAAAUCCAAACACUCUAUUUUUAAAGUAAUUGCAUAGCCUGUGCUUUACAGUUCACCUCAUUCUAGUCUUUAUGUGGAUAGGGGUUUUGCUCACAAGAUUAAUUGCUGAAACCUGUUUACAAGAAGAGGUCAGUGGUUUGGAUCCUAUGCACAUUUAUAGAACUGAACUCAAAAUGUCGAUUGAAGUCUAUAUAGGAUUUAAGGCAUGACUAAUGCAUCCCAUUGCUUUCAGUGGGACCUAAAUGCAACUAAGGGCUUAUCCACACUUACCUUUGCUCUGCUCUUUCCAGGUACCACCUGCGCUUUAAAACUCCAUUUUCCAAGUGACCCCCACUUGUUUUACUCUGGAGCCUUCCCUAUGAAAACCCUCUCCUUCAAGCUUAAUUGGAACAAAUGGCAAUCCUUUGAAAACUCAAAUCGACAACUGUGACAAUUGAGCACCAAAGAGCAGUUUUCACAGUGAAAGCUCUGGGGCAAAAAGAAAGGAAGCACUUGAAAGUGGAGUUUUUAAGCACAGAUAAGUGUGGAUAAGCCCUUUGUCUGGAUCCAACUCAACAUCCAUAAGAGAGGGAUGUGGAAGUAUGUGCUUGUGUCAUAAGAUCCAUCUUUUUUCACAGUAAAGGUCAGCAGAAUAAAGUCAGGGCUGUUUUGCAGGAAUGCAUCACCCUGUUGUAAAGCACAUUUGUAUGUACCUUGUGCAUUCUUUUGCAUGUUUUCUGCCUACAGGAUAAUGAAAUGAGUUAUGCUUCCCAUUUCAUGUAUUUGAUGUAAUGAUAGCAAACAGAUACAGGAAAUCUUGGAAUGCAUUAAGUGAUUUUCUUCCAUGCAAGUUCCAUGUUGAAUCUUAUACCACUUGCUUUGAAAGCAGGAAGCACAGCUCAUGCUUCCUGUCCCCCUUUUAGCAGGUAAAUUAAGCAGAUAUUGUUCUACAUAAAUGCUCCCUUGUUCUUUGUCCCAUGUAAAAGGCACUACCAUUGGCAAAUUCCAGGCUCUGUCUAGGGAUCAUGGGUUUGUGCCUUAAGAAGAGCACCUCCUGGAGGGGACUGAGUGUUGCGGCUGGAACAGUUAAUCUGCAUUCAGAACAGGGCUAUGUUGAGAUAAUGACUGUUAUGUUUAUGUAACUGUUUCCUUCAGUGCUAGGUGUGACUGGCAAAGGGACUGAGGUGCCAUGCAUAGAUUCCAC